rnacentral:rRNA from 1 species
AGUGAACGCUGGCGGUAGGCCUAACACAUGCAAGUCGAACGGCAGCACAGUAAGAGCUUGCUCUUACGGGUGGCGAGUGGCGGACGGGUGAGGAAUGCAUCGGAAUCUACUUUUUCGUGGGGGAUAACGUAGGGAAACUUACGCUAAUACCGCAUACGACCUACGGGUGAAAGCAGGGGAUCUUCGGACCUUGCGCGAUUGAAUGAGCCGAUGUCGGAUUAGCUAGUUGGCGGGGUAAAGGCCCACCAAGGCGACGAUCCGUAGCUGGUCUGAGGGGAUGAUCAGCAACACUGGAACUGAGACACGGUCCAGACUCCUACGGGAGGCAGCAGUGGGGAAUAUUGGACAAUGGGCGCAAGCCUGAUCCAGCCAUACCGCGUGGGUGAAGAAGGCCUUCGGGUUGUAAAGCCCUUUUGUUGGGAAAGAAAAGCAGCAGGUUAAUACCCCGCUGUUCUGACGGUACCCAAAGAAUAAGCACCGGCUAACUUCGUG